rnacentral:rRNA from 1 species
UACGUAGGGCGCAAGCGUUGUCCGGAAUUAUUGGGCGUAAAGGGCGCGUAGGCGGCUGUACAAGUCAAAGGUGAAAUCCCUCGGCUCAACUGAGGAACUGCCUUUGAAACUGUACGGCUUGAGGCCGGGAGGGGGUAGCGGAAUUCCCAGUGUAGCGGUGAAAUGCGUAGAUAUUGGGAGGAACACCAGUGGCGAAGGCGGCUACCUGGACCGGUUCUGACGCUGAGGCGCGAAAGCGUGGGUAGCAAACAGG